UCAAACUAUUCAUCACAUCAAACACAUUUAAAUGGUGCAGCAUGUUCAAGUUGUUCCCAUUACUGAAAAUACGUACAUUACGAGUCUUAAAGGAUUACCUGGUAGCAAAAGAAUAAACAAUAGUUCAACAACUAAAGCAACAUAAAAACAACAGCAAAACAACAGCAAAACCAGUAGCAAAUCCGUGUUAAAACAACCCGAAAACUUAGAGAGGGAACCCAGAAACAAACUCUAAAGAGGACUUAUACUUUUUUAAAAGUUUGCACUCUAAGAUUCACUCCCAAAGCUCACCAUUUCAGCUUACUUUUCAUGUGUUCAACUGCUGCAUUUUUGUUUUGUUUUUGUGACAAAGCAAUUAUAAAAAUGCCCCCCCUGGAAGUGUGAUGGAGUCCCCUCUAUAUAUCAAAACAACCAGCUAUUUCAAAAAAUUAAAAAUCAAUCUUUUUGACAGAUUUUUCUACAAAAUCUACUCUUAAAUUCAAAAAGCAAGACUUUCUAGUUCAAAUCUUGUCAAGUAUUUCAAACAAAAUCUGCUCUCCACUAGUCAAAGAUAGACUUUAUUCAAAAAAUGUCCAAAGGUCUACAUUUUCUUACCAAACAAUUUGACUUUUGAGUGCUGUACUCAAAGAGUCUUGAAGCAGUAAACAAACAAACAAACAAACAAGUACCAUAUACUCUUAAGUAUUUUUCAUUACCUUACUUUUAUCAAUACAAAAUUAUUUUACUACUUCAACAAGUGCAAAAGCAAAAAAUUUAACAUUUCAAACUUCAAAAACUAAUGCUAAAAUAAUUAAUAAUAGACAAAAAUAAAAUCUGAAAAUUAAAAAUAAAAAAUAAAAAUAAAAAUAAAAAAAUUAGCCAUGAAAAAGAAUAGUAUUUUACCAUUUUACACAUCAAAAAGCCGAAAAAGUGGUGGUAUGCCAAAGAGGGUGUUCCGAGAGGUCGCCGGAAUUAGGCCGGAUAUUGGUCGGCGGAUUUUUGGGGUAGAAUUGACAUCAAUAGCUAGGUCUUGAGGAGCUCUAUCCAUUGAUGUAGGUAUUUUGGGGUGGUAGUGGUUGGAGCUUCAAGAAUUUGGGCAAAAAAGUGACGGGAAAGUUUCCUAGAUCUAAGAUUCAAGGGGUUUGAGGGAUUUUUUUAGGAUUUGGUUUGGAGAUAUGGAAAGAGGAAGUUGUGGAGAUUACGUGGUGUGAAUUUGGAGGUGUUUGGAGGUGGUUCGUCGGUGGCGACGAUUUCCGACAGGCGGCGGUAGGCGGAGCUGGGGCGGCGUAGAGAGAGUGAAGAGAGAGAGAGAAGAGAGAAGAAGGAGAGGGAAAGAAGAGAGAGGAAAUAAGGGGGAAAUGGGAAAUCUUUUUGGGGAUUUUAG
rnacentral:lncRNA from 1 species